GACGAACGCUGGCGGCGUGCUUAACACAUGCAAGUCGAACGGUGAAGCGCCUUCCUUUUUGGUGGGUGUGGAUGAGUGGCGAACGGGUGAGUAACACGUGAGUAACCUGCCCCCUUCUUCUGGAUAACCGCAUGAAAGUGUGGCUAAUACGGGAUAUUCUGGGUCUGUCGCAUGAUGGGUCUGGGAAAGAUAUUGUUUCGGUGGGGGAUGGGCUCGCGGCCUAUCAGCUUGUUGGUGGGGUGAUGGCCUACCAAGGCGGUGACGGGUAGCCGGCCUGAGAGGGUGGACGGUCACACUGGGACUGAGACACGGCCCAGACUCCUACGGGAGGCAGCAGUGGGGUAUAUUGCACAAUGGGCGCAAGCCUGAUGCAGCGACGCCGCGUGAGGGAUGGAGGCCUUCGGGUUGUGAACCUCUUUCGCCAGUGAAGCAGGCCUGCCUCGUUUGUGGGUGGGUUGACGGUAGCUGGAGAAGAAGCGCCGGCUAACUACGUG
rnacentral:rRNA from 1 species